AUGGACCCUCCCGCGACGGCCGAUCCAGCAGCCGGCUCCCCCUCCCCCUCCACCACCUCCUCCUCCUCCUCGCUGCGGAGGCGCGCCGCGCUCUCCGUCAACACGUCCGCGCCGGCCGGCGGCGGCAGGGGCAUGGAGCGGAAGAGCAAGGGGGCGGAUGAGGGGGAGAGGGACGUGGAGCGGGCGGCGGGGUCGGCGCCGGUGAGCCCUGCGGGGCGGCUGUUCCGGGAGGCGCACUUCAACUGCUACAUCGUGGCCCUGCUGGGGCUGGGCGCGCCGGUGGACGUGGCGGCGGCCCGCGCCGGGCUGGAGGCCACGCUCGUCCGCCACCCACGCUUCUGCAGCGUCCAGGUGUCGGACGACGUAAAGAAGAACGCAAAGCCACGGUGGGUGCGGACCACGGUGAACCUGGACGACCACGUCAUCUUCCCGGACCUGGACCCUGCCGCCACGUCGGCGGACCCGGACCGGGCCCUGGAGGACUACGUGUCCUCCCUGUCCACGCGGCCCAUGGACAACUCCCGCCCGCUCUGGGAGUUCCACGUCCUCGACUUCCCGACCUCCGAGGCGGCCGGCGCCGUCGCCAUCCGCAUGCACCACUCCCUCGGCGACGGCGUCUCGCUCAUCUCGCUCCUCACCGCCUGCACCCGCAGCGCCGCCGACCCGGCCAGGCUGCCCGCGCUGCCGUCGCCCCCGCCCCCUCGCCGUUCCGGCGGCGCCGCCCCGCCGCUCUCGGCCGGCGCCCUCGCGCUCGCCGCGUGGGCCUGGUCGCUCGUGGCGCUCGCGUGGAACACGCUGGUGGACGUGGCGCUCUUCGUGGCCACGUCGUGGUUCCUGCGCGACGCGCCCACGCCGUUCCUGGGGUCCCCCGGCGUCGAGUUCCGCCGCAAGCGCUUCCUCAACUGCACCCUCAGCCUCGACGACGUCAAGCUCGUCAAGAAUGCCAUGAAGUGUACUGUGAAUGAUGUGCUGGUUGGCGUGACCUCUGCGGCGCUUUCGCGCUAUUAUUUCCGCAAGAUCGGCGACACCAGCAGCGAUAAGAGAAAGCCGCAGAAGAACAUCCGCAUGCGAUCGGCGUUGCUCGUCAACAUUCGGAAAACACCCGGCCUACAUACAUUGGCACAGAUGAUGGAUCCCAGCAAGGACAACACUGUCAAAUGGGGGAACCAUAUUGGUUACAUUGUGCUCCCGUUCCAUAUAGCGAUGCACGACGAUCCUCUCGAGUACAUCCGGCAGGGGAAAAAGACAGCGGACAGGAAGAAGAGAUCUUUGGAAGCCGUCUUCACAUAUUGGAGUGGGAAUCUAGUGGUGAAACUCCUCGGCAUUAAGGCAGCCGCGGCUCUCUGCUAUGGCAUGUUCACUAACACCACCAUGUCAUUCUCAAGCCUGGCCGGACCUACCGAGAAGGUGGAGUUCUAUGGUCAUCCGAUCGUCUAUAUUGCCACAAGUGUCUACGGGCAUCCACAUGCUCUUACCGUGCAUUUUCAAAGUUACAUGAACAUCAUGAAGCUUGUCCUUGCGGUGGAUGACGAGCAAUUCCCGGACUCUCAUCAACUAUUGGAUGACUUUACUGAGUCCCUCAGGCUUGUUCGUCAGGCAGCUUCAGCAAGAUCGUAG
rnacentral:rRNA from 1 species